UGUCCAAUCAAAAUCAGUAUUCAGGAUUCUAUGUCUAGGAGAGGAGGACAUGAUAAGGAUACUCAGCCUAACGUCAUAGAAGUAAUAGCAACCUCUUCAAAGUGGAAAAUUCUAGACUAAGCGCAAGUUUUCCUUCUCUUGAGGGAGGACUAACUUGGGUGAUCCACCAUUCAGAAAACUGUUAAGAGACUGGCAAAGGUGAAAUGUUGGCAGGAGGAAAGGUCCUAGAGACAACUUCAGUCAUUCCUCACAAAUCAAGCUUCCUGGUCACACAUCAUAGUUGUGUAGACUCUUAGCACUGGGCAAAGUAUUUCAGAAGAUGCUCAGAUUUGACCAAGAUUUGACCAGAAUGACUCUUCUCCUUCAGCAUUUUGGCACAAGUGAAAAAACAAAUGUGUUCCUCUAGCAAAGGUGUUUAUGGUUGGAACCUGGAUCCUGUUUUGAACUGACAGUCAUCUCUGAGGAACCUCUAGGGUCCUAGGAACCCACCUGUAUAUGCUAUUGCCUGAUGCUCUUAUGCUACUUGUUAAGGUUUGAAGAAUGUUAAGGUUGAAGAAUUCAUAAGAAUGCCCUCUGCAAAACUCACUUUGGAAUCUAAAUCCCAGAGCAUAUUAAGAGGUGGGGCCUUUAGGAGGUAAUUAAGCCAUGAGGGUGGAGCCUUCAUGAAUGCAGGAGGGACUGUCUGGGCCUCUUUCUGCCUUUCCAUCCCCUCUGCCAUGUGAGGACACAGGGUUUGUUCCAUCUGGAGGAUGCACCAUCUUGGGAACAAAGAGCAGCCCUAGCCAGACACCAAACCUGCUGGUACCUUAAUCUUGGGUCCCAGAACUUCUGUUCUCCAAAAAUUAUGCAGCCUCAGGUAUUUUGUUAAAGCAGCACAAGUGGACUAAGAUAUUAUCUAAUACUUUGGUAGGGAUUGGAGCUGAAAUCCGAGCUCAGGUUGGAUGGAUCCCCUGCCCUUGCCAUUCCCAACAGGGUCUUCUUAUUAAGUUUUCUGUGCCUGCUUCACAGAGAGCUUCCUGACUUCACACUCUGCAGAAACAGCCGAGCUCGGGUCCCAGCCCCAGCACCCUUUCUUGUGUUGGCUGUCUUUAUUUCCAUUGCAUCACUAAACACCACCAGAAACUCUCUUCUUUAUUUUUUACUUAUUUAUCAUCAACCUUCAACUUCUAGAAACUUGAAGAAAACAAGGACUAUAUAUCUGUCUUGUUCAGUGCUGCUGUUUGCAUGACAUGUCAGGUCCUCUGAUGAUUUCUCAAGGUACAGUUGGUCCUUCAUAUUUAUAGACUCCACAUCACAUCCAUGGAAUCAACUUAACCCAGAUCAAACAAUUCAGAAAAAAUAAAUGCACUUAUACUAGCCUGUACA